rnacentral:rRNA from 1 species
UACGAAGGGGGCUAGCGUUGCUCGGAAUCACUGGGCGUAAAGCGCACGUAGGCGGACUCUUAAGUCAGGGGUGAAAUCCUGGAGCUCAACUCCAGAACUGCCUUUGAUACUGGGAGCCUUGAGUUCGAGAGAGGUGAGUGGAACUGCGAGUGUAGAGGUGAAAAUUCGUAGAUAUUCGCAAGAACACCAGUGGCGAAGGCGGCUCACUGGCCCGGUACUGACGCUGAGGUGCGAAAGCGUGGGGAGCAAACAGGG